rnacentral:rRNA from 1 species
AUUGAACGCUGGCGGCAGGCUUAACACAUGCAAGUCGAGCGAGCGGCGGACGGGUGAGGAAUGUCCGGGAAACUGCCUGAUGGAGGGGGAUAACUCCUGGAAACGGUAGCUAAUACAGCAUACCAACAGAUGUGCCCAGAUGGGAUUAGCUUGUAGGUGGGGUAAUGGCUCACCUAGGCGACGAUCCCUAGCUGGUCUGAGAGGAUGACCAACCACACUGGAACUGAGACACGGUCAAUACUCCUAGGGGAGAGAGAGGUGGGGAAUAAUGCACGAUGGGGGCAAGCCUGAUGCAACCAUGCCGCGUGUGUGAAGAAGGCCUUCGGGUUGUAAAGCACUUUCAGCAAGGAGGCGUUACUCGCAGAAGAAGCACCGGCGAACUCCGUGCCAGCAGCCGCGGUAAUUC